rnacentral:rRNA from 1 species
AUAAACGCUGGCGGCGUGCAUGAGACAUGCAAGUCGAACGGACGAUUCGGGCUUGCUCGAAUCGUUAGUGGCGGACGGGUGAGUAACACGUGGGAAUCUGCCCAAUAGUGGGGGACAGCCCGGCGAAAGCCGGAUUAAUACCGCAUACGCCCUACGGGGGAAAGGCGCAAGCCGCUAUUGGAUGAGCCCGCGUAAGAUUAGCUAGUUGGUGAGGUAAAGGCCCACCAAGGCAACGAUCUUUAGCUGGUCUGAGAGGAUGGCCAGCCACAUCGGGACUGAGACACGGCCCGGACUCCUACGGGAGGCAGCAGUCGGGAAUAUUGGACAAUGGGCGCAAGCCUGAUCCAGCAAUACCGCGUGUGUGAAGAAGGCCUGCGGGUUGUAAAGCACUUUCAGUGGGGAAGAUAAUGACGUUACCCACAGAAGAAGCACCGGCUAACUCCGU